AAAGGAAAUGCCGAAAACCUUCAAAAGAGUAGGCA
rnacentral:ncRNA from 1 species